UACGAAGGGGGCGAGCGUUGUUCGGAUUUACUGGGCGUAAAGGGCGCGCAGGCGGCUACGUUUGUCAGGCGUGAAAGCCCCGGGCUUAACCUGGGAACUGCGCUUGAUACGGUGUGGCUAGAGUUCGGGAGAGGAGAGUGGAAUUCCCAGUGUAGAGGUGAAAUUCGUAGAUAUUGGGAAGAACACCGGUGGCGAAGGCGGCUCUCUGGACCGAGACUGACGCUGAGGCGCGAAAGCGUGGGGAGCAAACAGG
rnacentral:rRNA from 1 species